GAUGAAGAACGCAGCAAAAUGCGAUACUUGGUGUGAAUUGCAGAAUCCCGUGAACCAUCGAGUUUUUGAACGCAAGUUGCGCUCGAAGCCUUUUGGCCGAGGGCACGUCUGCCUGGGCGUCACACAUCGCGUCGCCCCCCACAACUCUCCGUAAAGGGAACUUGUGUUUUGGGGGCGGAUAUUGGUCUCCCGUGCUCAUGGCGUGGUUGGCCGAAAUAGGAGUCCCUCCGGUGGACGCACGAACUAGUGGUGGUCGUAAAAACCCUCGUCUUUUGUUUCGUGCCGUUAGUCGCGAGGGAAACUCUUUAAAAACCCAAAUGUGUCGUCUCUUGACGGCGCUUCGACCGCGACCCCAGGUCAGGCGGGACUACCCGCUGAGUUUAAGCAUAUCAAUAAGCGGAGGA
rnacentral:misc_RNA from 1 species